GCAGAGUAGACUGGCUUUUGUUCUUUUCUCACUACAAUUCUGCCCUUAAGAGUCCAGCACUAAGAACUUUAACUGGAUACCGGUCCUCAUUGGGUUCCAGUCAAGAACAUCAGACUGAUCAAACAUCGAACAACCAGCUGGUCAAAACUCAGAAAAGAAUUAAUGGCCUUGAAGAGGUGGUUUGCAUUUCCUAGAGACGUCAAAGUCAUAAAAGAUAAAUCUUCUGUCCUUGGGGAACCGGUUGAUCAUAUGUCCAGAGGUGGUCGCUACUGUGCUCCCUUUCCUUUUGAUGACAUUCUUCUUGCUCUAGACUGGCAACACCCAGACCCCAGCCAGUUUGUAACAACUUUUGAACGUGAGCUUUCUGCAGGUCUGUUAGUUUCCUUUCCCUGUUUGGCCUGUCACACAGGGCAUCAUCAAGCGUGGACUCUCUGCGAGUGUCAAAGGUGUGGGUGCCUUUGGUAUUGUGCAUCUCAUAAAAGAAGAGCUGACUGUCGGCACUGUGACCCUUUAAGGAGCAGUCGGAAUAAUAUACAAAUUAAACAGUUGGUGUGUGGGCAUAAAUAUGGUUUGUCUGAACAUCAGGAAUUGUCACGUGAGCAGUGGCUUGCCAUUGUUAGUAAGUUUUGUAGUGUUAGUUCUAAUUCUUCCCACAGCAGCGAUGGGGAGUCCUCUAUCACCAAUGGCUCAAGGUAGUAUUUGGCUUACACUAGCAAAGGCUUUCUUAGUAUUAGUACUUUUUUACUUGGCCUGGUUAUCAGCCAAAAACAAAUGUAUGGAUAACUUCAGCCAGUUUAAAAGGACAAGAUACUUUAUGGUUGGCUAUGGCCUCUCCUGAAAAGCCAUUUACUACUUGUUUCAUUGGUUUACCUUUAGAUACAUGGCCACAUCCCCCUUCAGCUCAUGUUCUUCAUUUUGAGAUUAAUGUUGAUGCAUAGAACCAAUGGAUCCUGUAUCUCCCUCGUGCAGCCCCUGCAGUUUGGGGUGACUCUUGCUGUUGACAGCAAACACAUCCAUGGUUGUACAACAUAAAUUUCCACAGAGAGGGAAGCACAGUAUUCAUGUGUUUACCCCUGAUUGUGAUGAUAAUAUCAUCUUUUGGUAGCUACAACAGUGUUGGGCUGUCUCCUUUUUGCACCAGGAAUAGCAGCUGGAAAGACACUGGGAUUGUUAAAUAAGCUAGGCUGCUGGUUAGCUCGACAAACUAAUGCUGCUUCACUCACUUUAACAGGAUUGUUAACCAAUAUUUAUUCAAUAGGCAUGUUACAUUGCAGAAUCAAGUUGCUAUUGAUCUUUUGCUUUUAGUUAAUAGACAUGGAUGUGAAGAUUUUGAUGGAAUGUGUUAUAUGAACCUUUCUGAUCACUCACAAUAGAUUCAUGCAAGUAUUAAAGCUUUACAAGAUAAUGUAGCCAAAUUAAAAAUAGUAGAUGGAGCUGAUUGGUUUAGCGACCUUUUUGGAAACUGGGGUAUCACUGGAUGGGUUAAAACUUUAAGAUGGGAAUGUUUGUAUUAGGGAUGCUAUUAAUUAUAGUGAUAUAUCUGCCUUGCUUGAGUCAAUGUAUUCAGAGAUUGAUUAAUAAAUCAAUAAAAUAAUGAUUUUAGAACCGAAAGGGGGAAAUGUAGAUGAUUACACAGCUACAGAAGCUGAGUUGGGUAGCACCGCAGACCUCCUGGCCCUGGUACAGUGGAAGCCAUGGGAGAGAGAAACUCAGGACAAGAACAAGAAGUGAUCACUUUGCACAAGACAUCAUGUGUGAUUGCUGUGGUGGACAAGGAUGUUAACGAGGACUUGAUAACUGAAAAGAUUAUGUUGCUUAAGGGUACAGGAGCAAGGGGGUCUGAGUGGAAAAUUUUGUGUGGAAGUUAGAGAACUCUAAAUUCUGGUGAUUAGUGUAAUA
rnacentral:lncRNA from 1 species